rnacentral:rRNA from 1 species
GCGCGCCUUACAUGCAGUUCGAACGGUAACGCGGGGCAACCUGGCGACGAGUGGCGAACGGGUGAGUAAUACAUCGGAACGUGCCCAGAUAGUGGGGGAUAGCCCGGCGAAAGCCGGAUUAAUACCGCAUACGACCUACGGGUGAAAGCGGGGGAUCGCAAGACCUCGCGCUAUUGGAGCGGCCGAUGUCAGAUUAGGUAGUUGGUGGGGUAAAGGCCUACCAAGCCGACGAUCUGUAGCUGGUCUGAGAGGACGACCAGCCACACUGGGACUGAGACACGGCCCAGACUCCUACGGGAGGCAGCAGUGGGGAAUUUUGGACAAUGGGCGCAAGCCUGAUCCAGCCAUGCCGCGUGCGGGAAGAAGGCCUUCGGGUUGUAAACCGCUUUUGUCAGGGAAGAAACGCUCUGGGCUAAUACCCCGGGGUAAUGACGGUACCUGAAGAAUAAGCACCGGCUAACUACGUGCCAGCAGCCGCGGUAAUACGUAGGGUGCAAGCGUUAAUCGGAAUUACUGGGCGUAAAGCGUGCGCAGGCGGUUAUGCAAGACAGAUGUGAAAUCCCCGGGCUUAACCUGGGAACUGCAUUUGUGACUGCACAGCUGGAGUGCGGCAGAUGGGGAUGGAAUUCCGCGUGUAUCAAGUGAAAUGCUUAGAUAUGCGGAUGAACACCGAUGGCGAAGGCAAUCCCUUUGGGCCUGCACUGACUCUCAUG